GGAGMUUAAAAUCCGUCGACUUUAGAAAUCGUGAGGGUUCAAGUCCCUCUAUCCCCA
rnacentral:tRNA from 1 species